AUGAUGCGGAAACGCAUCAUCAUGUUAGACCCAGCAGUUGGACCUUUUGGUUAUAGCAAUCGGCGGGUCAGCAUGCAUGAGUUUGUAAGCAACAAACUUCAUGCUGCCCUGUUUAACUGUCUACAUAAUUUCUUCAGCUCUUGGCAUUGCGACUUCACUAACUGGGGUCGCACAUUUCCUAUCAUAAUGCGGGAAAAAAAUAAACAAAGAUGAAACUGGCUUGGGCGCUACAUUCUUUGCAAGGAAUUACGACGGUGACAGGCUACAAAUCCCAUUGACCAAAGAUACAUUGGAAUCACACGGCAACCUCAUGCUUUACGAGCUGAUGCGGAUGCAAGGGAACCAAACAAAGGCGGCACACGAUUCACUCAAAGCAAUCAAAGGAACGUUCCUUGUUCUGUAGGGCAGUUCGGAGGACGAGCAGAUGUUAAAACGAGCAACAAAUCAUGUUACCAUUUCCUCUUUGCUCAAGGACACCUCUGUGACACAUUUGUACUGCAUGAGAAUUUGAGCAUUACACUAUUUCAUCUCACGUAGCUAGAUAAACCAUCACAAAACUCAUCACAAACUGAUGAGUUUUGCUGCGUGGUUGCUUCCAACUAAUCUGCAUCUACAUGCAGAACACCUUGUACACAAGUGCUAGCAGAAGAAUGCACACAGCAACAUUCAUCACAUAUCCACCGCGGUGGCUGCCAAGGUUUGGCUCUGGGACUUGCUGUGCAACCUCCUGCCUGCUUUCUUCGAGAUGUUGCAUCGCCCU